GAUUUACUCUCACAAAACUUCAUCAACCCUUUUUCUCUCUCUUUCUCUCUCUCUGGCGACUCAUGAACAUAUCUGUAAGGAUUUCACCAGAUCUAGGGUUUUACUUUCAUUCGAAUUCAAAUCCAUGACCCCAACCUGUGACGGUGUGGUGUGCAGUGUUAAAAUCCGCUGAUUAGGGUUCCGGCAGUGGGAUUCUCGAGCAGAUUGGUGGCAGACGAGCAUCCGGCUGUAGAUGGUGGUUUUCUGGUAGAUCUAAGUUUUAAACCCCCAGCCGCUCCUUUUCGUUCUCUCUCAAAGAUUCAGUCCAGAUCUGCCCUCACUUCGCGAUUCACCAUAAGCUAAGAGGAGACAUGAUAGAGGAGAAAGGGAGCCGACAAAGCCCUAGCUGUUGCAUCAGGCGGAGAUGAGUACUGGAGACCAACUUAGCGUUGUUGUGCCUCAGGAGCCUUAAUUUCAGUGCAAAUUAUACGAUUUCAAUACUCAUUUAUUAAAUUGAAGAAGUAGAUAUCAUGUUCCAUGCACUGAUGAACGAGAUAAACAUUAAUCUUGUGGCGUAUAAGCUAUUAUGCCUAACAAGCUGAACUCAGUGCAAUGUGCUGGUGUAGACAAAAAGGAAGAACUACUAUGGAUGCCGACAAGAACCAUAUUACCAAAGACCAGUGCUUGGCGAGUGAGAAAAGACUCACAAGCGUUGUAUAGUCGUUUGGCUAAAGAAACAUGGAAAUCGUUUUGAGAUUGCUUGUUACAAGAACACGGUCCUCUCAUGGUGUCCUGGCGUUUGGUGGAGGAAACAGGCACAGAAGAUCAACAUUUGCGAAAUUUAAUCAGCGUUUCAGACGCAACUUCCUGAAAGGCCUGUUACGUUUGGGUUUGCAGGUAGCAACGGACGAUUCUGUUUGAUCUGCGCUUUAUGGGAACACAUUGAAAUGAAUUAAGCAGGUUUGUAGUAGACAGUAGUGACAAUGAAGGCAAAUGGGAAGUCUGGUGAAGACCAGACCCAACUGGAAGAACUGCGUCGGUACUGUUGUGGAUUUUAUAUCUGUUUUUCUUUCUCUAUUUCUUAUUUAUACAGAAGUAGUGACGUUUACGUGCCAAGGGAUGAAGCCUUUUCUGAGAUGAAGAACCUAACGUUUAACGCCAAGACUGUAUUUUUAGUGCUGAAGGAAGUGUUACUUUCGGCCGAAACGUCAAUGAUUGACCAAGAUCUUGGGUUCCUGUACCUCACAAUGGUAGUUUACGGUCGGUCGAAACGUCAAUGGUAGUUUACGAACGGUAGAUGAUAAUGAUGAUGUAAGCAGAGGGCAGUAUUGUCAACUUGAUGAGGUUGAAAAUGGUGGAAAUAUUGUUCCUGAGAGCUUUGAAGAGCAGAUGAUGCUAGCGAUGGCGGUUUCAUUGGCCGAGGCUCGAACUAGGAUUAGCAGUACGCAAGAGGUCGCGUGGAUUUAGUGUGUGUUUUAAGGUGUAUUAUUUGUGUGUUGGUAUACAGUGAUGUAAAACAGAAAAAUAUGGAAGUGUAGAUUUGUGGGUAGAGGUUUGAGUCAUGAAUGCAUGCAUACAGUCAAUCAACCCCUUUGAAGAUUUUAAAGUCUUGUAUGAUUGUUGUUUAUGGGAGAAUUCAGAUUUGUUGUUUGGCCAUAAAAGCA